GUGAAGAACGUAGUGAAAUGCGAUACUUGGUGUGAAUUGCAGAAUCCCGUGAACCAUCGAGUCUUUGAACGCAAGUUGCGCCCGAAGCCAUUAGGCCGAGGGCACGCCUGCCUGGGCGUCACACGUCGUUGCCCCCCCAUCUACUCCUUCGGGAUUGCGGGGGGCGGAUGAUGGCCUCUCGUGCGCCUCGUCGCGCGGUUGGCCUAAAUGCCAAGUCCUCGGCGACGCACGCCACGACAAUCGGUGGUUGCGAAACCUCGGUUGCCUGUCGUGUGCGGUCGUCGCGCAUCGAGGGCUCGAAAAAAUUGCCGGGCUUCGGCUCGACUUUCAACGCGACCCCAGGUCAGGCGGGGUUACCCGCUGAAUUUAAGCAUAUCAAUAAGCGGAGGA
rnacentral:misc_RNA from 1 species